rnacentral:rRNA from 1 species
CCCUUAGAUGUUCUGGGCCGCACGCGCGCUUCAAUGAUGAAUUCAACGAGUUUAUAACCUUGGUUGAAAAGCCUGGGUAAUCUUUUGAACUUUCGUCGUGAUGGGGCUAGACCCUUGCAAUUAUUGGUCUCCAACGAGGAAUUCCUAGUAAACGCAAGUCAUCAGCUUGCAUUGAUUACGUCCCUGCCCUUUGUACACACCGCCCGUCGCACCUACCGAUUGAAUGGUCCGGUGAAAUCUUCGGAUUGAGACUUUGAUUUCUUCACGGAAAACGCUGUUUUAAAAAGUUGAUUAAACCUUACCAUUUAGAGGAAGGUGAAGUCGUAACA